UACGUAGGGCGCGAGCGUUGUCCGGAAUUACUGGGCGUAAAGCGCGCGUAGGCGGACCUGCAAGUCGGGGGUGAAAGCCCGAGGCUCAACCUCGGAACUGCCUUCGAUACUGCGGGUCUCGAGUCCGGGAGAGGUGAGUGGAAUUCCUAGUGUAGAGGUGAAAUUCGUAGAUAUUAGGAAGAACACCAGUGGCGAAGGCGGCUCACUGGCCCGGUACUGACGCUGAGGCGCGAAAGCGUGGGGAGCAAACAGG
rnacentral:rRNA from 1 species